UGAUUAACACUCAUAUAAUCACAAUCACUGUCUAAUCAAAGAAAGUUAUCUUCACUUGUUUCCCUUAACUGACAAUGGGUCUACCCUUAAACCAUCAUUUUCCCUUUCAGAUGGAGGACAACAACAUCUCACACCCCGCCUUCCUCAGUGUUGGAGCAAGGAUUUGACAUUCUCCUCAUUUUCUACUUUCAGGUAGCGGAAAGACCUCCUUCAAGAGCUCAUCUAUCCCAGAUCAUCCCUGAACAGUGUGCUCAGGGACACUCCGCGUCCGGA
rnacentral:lncRNA from 1 species